rnacentral:rRNA from 1 species
UACGUAGGGUGCAAGCGUUGUCCGGAAUUAUUGGGCGUAAAGAGCUCGUAGGCGGUCUGUCGCGUCGGCUGUGAAAACUCGGGGCUCAACCCCGAGCCUGCAGUCGAUACGGGCAGACUAGAGUGCUGUAGGGGAGACUGGAAUUCCUGGUGUAGCGGUGAAAUGCGCAGAUAUCAGGAGGAACACCGGUGGCGAAGGCGGGUCUCUGGGCAGCAACUGACGCUGAGGAGCGAAAGCGUGGGGAGCAAACAGG